GCUUAAAAGGAUACAACGCACCACCCCUUUGGUCAAAAGCCGUUCGCCAGAUAUCAGUCACCUCAUUGUAAAUGCCACCCGAACACCCUUCAAAGUGAAGUAUCAAGAAGGUGAUCUCCGUCUCACCUCCCGCCACUACCAAACUCCACUCAUGCAUAUUGCUUGCUAGCGGCCCAACUUUUCUCAGAUUUGCCGGCAGAAUCUCUCUAGGCAUUGUUGCCAAGGGUCGCCAUUGUCUGGAUGCUUCGUCCAGAUAGACAAAACCAAGGGUUUGUGCAUCCAGUAUAAAGUUCGCAAGCACCAGUUUUCCUGAAACCCAGUGAACACAAAACCAAGCAUAAAAAGAAAAAGAAAACAUAAACUUACCGGCACAAUAAACAAGUGAGGUGUUAUUGUUUCGGCAUCCGUUGUAUGGUUCUUGAUGCAAGCCCAUGGGAAGACUCGUCCAGGUUGCCACAGUCGCCACCUUGCCAUCUGAAUCCCACACGUUGACGCACUUGAGUGAUCUGGUGUUGUUCUUUGCGAUCGUGAUAAAGUAGAGCUUGUCCUCCCGUAGAAGCAUGCAAUCGUUGGCGUCAUCAAAGGAAGUCUGGGCAAUCUCAUUCCCGUUUGCGAAUACUCGACAAGACGAGACCCAUUUGUGAACUCUGGAAUCAUAAACUUGUAGAACUAGAUGGCGUGCACCUACAUACGUUGUCUUGAUUCCCUGAACAGAAACCACGGAAAACCAAGGCCUGUUGUCACUACCAACUGAAGAUUGGAUAGCCACGAAAAUUAUGGUUGGCUCAGAACCAGGUGGUGGAGGCAGCUUCACCAGGGAACUUAAAUCUAAGGGGUUGCAAACCACAGCAGUCCCUAAGGUGUUCAAGGGGAAGUAUGCAAGAACAAGCCCGGCAGAAGACACACAGAUACUUGCUGUUUCCAUCGUUGUAAACAUCUCGAUCAUCUUCCAUGAAAGAGGCCUUGAAUUUCCAUCACAGAGACCAACACUGCAAAAACCAUCCAUGAUAUACCACUGCCCAUUGCAAAACCUGUGAGCUUUGCUAUAUCCCAAGCCCUGGAUUGCGGACUUCCAAGCCUUGCAGACGCUCUUUCCACGGCAAAGUGCCGGCAGUGGCAAGAAGUUUAGAAUGUGGAGCUGGAGUUCCAAAGGCAGCUGGGACCAGCUGGGAUGAUCCAGAGCACCUGUAGUUCUACGCCUCACCUUGAGAUUCGUGAUCAUACCAUCCCAGUGCCGCUUUUGCUUCUUCUCCGAAAUAUUGAUAAAUGGAUCCAUACCCUAGCGCAAGGAUAAAUGAUAAAAAGGUAGAAAGAGUCCGGACCCUUUUCUAUGUUGGUAAUGGGAUGGGAAUCGAGCGCCAGACCUCUCAUAACUCCGUACCCAUUGAUUGUCGACCUUCCCUGGAUCAAUCUUUUUCCCUUGCUCGGAAUAGUUCAUUAGCGAAGACAUUGUUUCUUCUUUGAUUGAUCAAUCGAUCCAUGGGUGGGGCACAAAGCACGGACUUUGGAUGGAAGAGAGCGAUCGAUUGAUCAAGGAGGAAACUCUCUUCUGGAUUUUGAUUGAUUUCUCUAGAGCAUAGAGAUUGAAAUAUGAGCUUGGAAGCAUUUUAGAGGUAAUCGAAGAAAAGCGAGAAAGAAAGGCAAAAUGUUUUUAGUCAGCCGUCGGAUGGCCAUAGAUCGGACGGCCACAGAUCGCGCUUUAUAGUAGAGAUUCGAUGGAUAUAUUUAGGGUUUAACGGGCUGGGCGGGAGAGAAGAGAAUGGUGCUGAUGAGGCGACGGAGGGAGGAUGAGGCGCUGAUGAGGCGAUGGAGGGAGGAGAUGGCGCAGUAGUCCUCGCAUAAGCUCAAUGUAGCCAAAUCGAAUCGUCCGAGGUAAGAUUUUCCAGAUUCUAGUCCCAUUCCAGACCGAUCGGGCAAAAUUUUGCAGCUCCGAAGAAAUCUGUCGAAUUAAUACCCAGGAUGGGCUGGAGGAGCAAGAUUUCGAAGAAGAGGGACUGGAUCAGGAGGACAAGGAGCAAGAACUGGAAGAGCAGGGAUUGGAGGAGCAAGGUCCAGGACAGGGAAAGGGCGGGGGAUCUAUAGAAGACGAAGGACAUGAGGGACAGGGUCAAGGAGACGAUGAGCAGAACGAGCAGGGCCCAGGGGACAAUGGACAGGGAAAUGAUCUUAAUAUACUCGUCACUCUGAAGGAGAACUGGAUGACAAGGAAAGGACUUGCUUUAGGACGGAAGACAGUGGGACGUCUUUUUGCCCAUUUCCCUCCUUCAAAACUAGUGUCUCAGAUGGUCAAGCUGGUUGACAUAGAAACAAAUACAGCACUAGAUCAUCAGGGCACAGGAUUUUUGAUCGAUACCGGGAAAUCAAGUCUUCUCUUCCCUAAAGAACUCAAGAAUCUCGAUACACCUUUCAAAAUCUCUUGGGAGAAAGCUUUUCUACGAAGAGAUGAUGUGGCCCAAUUUCCACCACGGUUUACAAUUGUCACCACUAGGCCGGAUGGAGUAGGAAGGAAUGUACUGCUGAUCAGGAAUUCUCCACUUCCAAAAGAUGGUCUUAAAUGGGAUUCGAAGAGCGUGCGAAUGGAAGUUCAUGGGUAUGGUGUGUUCCACCUCGACUGUAGCCUAAAGGAGCCUUUAGCAUCGUUAAAAGCACUGUAACGAUCACACCAUUUGUUACUUGUGAAUCAACCAGGGGGUGACGAUGACGAUCAACCAAGGGGUCCAGGGGGUAGGAGUGGCGAUGAACCAGGGGGUGGUGAUCAACCAGAACCUGGGGCUGACAAUCAACCUGGUGGUGACCAUGAUCAACCAAGAAGGGGCAAUUGGCAACGCAUAGUAUCAUCUAGUAGCAGUGGAGAUGAGGAGCAGCCAAUCCGGAGGAGGCGGCCAAUCAGGAGGCGGCUAAUAGUCUCAGCAGGCAGCAGUGGCGAAGAUCAAUCAUUCUCGGAGGCACCUGAAGCAGUAGUAGCAAUAUCUGACGAUGCUGCACAGGAUUUGGCGAAUUUUGUAAGUUGUUUUUUCAUUGAAAUCCCAAAAGUACUAACAGUUGAAGUUGGAAGGCUUUUGAAGCAGCAGUGACUAGCAACGCAGCACAAGCAUUGGUUGCUUUUGUAAGUUACUUUCCUUAAAUUCCUGAUGACUUACAGUUUGCGCUUGAAGGCCUCUGAGGAAGUUUGAGGGCCUCAACAGCUGCGAGCCAAAACUUUUCCCUCUGUACGUAUUAGAUUUUUGUCGACGCAGCUGAGUGUCUAGAUAGAGUGAGUUGAUGUGCUGAAAUUUCUAACUUGUUCUUUUUGACGACAGGAACCUCGCUCGUAAUAAAACUUGUGCACCUUUGUCUCAAAGCUGGUGCCAACUUGCGGGUCAUCUACCAGUAUCCAACGAUGGUAUUUUUACCUCGACUUCUUCUUUGGCUUGAGAGGAGAAGAUUAUCGUCGUCAUGCAAAGAUUUUGAAUAGGAUUUUGGUGCGGAUUCCGUUGUCUUUCUCCAGUGCUAAUGCCAGUGUGAGGUCAGUACUCUUCAAUUUUCCUUAGUCUUUUUUCUUCUGCGACGAAGAACUCCUAAUCAUGUGGUUGCAGGCAGGACAAAUCUCGUGCUCCUGGCUGCACCUAGCGACGGAAGAAGCCAUCCACAAAUAAAGCGAAAAUGUAUAGAAACAUGAAUGGAGAGAAUAGGCAAAAUGCUAUGGCCUGGUCGGCUGGGAAGACAUCACACACAGAGAGAAUGGCAAUGCCUCUGAAAGAAAGAGUCUCUCCCACUGGAGGUGUGCUGUAAUCCAGAUCCCGGGAGUUUGCUUGUUGGAUCGAGCAAAGUUUCGAAAAGACAGAAACACUUUGAUCCAUCUUGCUCGUCGCAAUCUCUGAGUAUAUAUGACUCCCCUGUUCCUCAUUGCUCUCCAGAUAUCUGUGUUUAUGGAAGAGAGCUCUUUUCCUGUCUCAUAUAUCUCGAUCUCUAGACAGUUUUUAGUCUUGACUCUCAAAAAAGUUUUCUCUUUUUCGCCAAAUGAAAGUAUAAGAAUUUUUUUGUCAAGGUUUUAGGGCUCUGUAUGAUGAUGUCAGAAUGAGGCUUGCGGAGGGCGAUUGAGAUCUGAUAUUUUUUGCUACUCUCUCCAGCACGCAGAUCCGGUGGAUUGCUAUAGAUUGUAAGUUGUUUUUCUUUAUCCCUUUUUUUUUCAAAACUUUGUUUUGGUCCCAAUGGUUGCUGCUGUUGGUAUAGCGGAGAUCCCUGUGAUUUAGAGUUACUUGCCAUGAUAGGAAGACAAGAAUUACGGGAAUGUAAGGGUAAACCUCUCUUUUUUCUAGAUGCACGCUAAGUUUUUCUCUGUUUCUUUCUUUUGUAGAACGCUGAUCAACACGAGAUUGAGCGGUAGCUUGCCGGAAUCUAACAGGCCUCCAGCUCUUGUAAGUUUCAUUUAGAUCGAAGCCUGAUAGCCUCAAGUAUCUUUGGAUAUACAAAAUCAAGUAACUGGUAAUUGUGCUAGGAAUCUGCAAACCUGUGGUUUCAACGGGAGUAUUCUCUUAUUUCUGUAAGUCAAGAUAUUCCCAUUGUUUCCUUUUGGUGUCUAAACAGAUCUGCGAACUUAUGUUUCUAGAGCUUUGAACGGAAACUUUCUGGAUGGAAGGAUUCCCCCAACUGUUGGCGAGCUCCCGGUGAUCUCGUUUGACGGCACGGGCUUUGACAACCUGACGGUAUUAAGACACAUGUACGACUUUGCGACGACCGCGUACCAUAUGGCUUAAUUGUUUUUCUCCAGGCAUCUCAACAACAACAAUCUUUCCGGUGCGAUUCCGACUGCGCUGUCUACGACACCAAAACUAUUUCACCUGUACAUCUUUAUUAGAUUUUACGAGUCACCACUGCUUAUGAUAUCUGUUCUCUUCGCCUUCGUGACAGACUGCUGGAAGACAACAACUUUCCAGGAGCCAUACCUCCAGAAAUCGGCAGCUUGCCACAGCUGAGAAUCUUGUGAGAGUUCUCUCUGUUUUCUUUCUUUAUAGAGUUGUUUGAGCUGCAGAUUCUAACUUUUGCUAACUGACAACGACAUAGUAAUAAACUUGAGGGCCCCGUACCUGAAAUCAUCAGUCGCCUGGCUUUCCUCCUCGAGCUGUAUGAUGGUUUUGAUUUUGAUUGUCUUACGCUAACUGAUGAAUAUUUGACCAUUUUGUCUGCUAUGCAAAAUCUACAUCUCAUGUGGGUUGCUCCUGAUUUUUCUUCUCUGAUACCGUUUUACCAGCGAUCAGUGAUCAAUAGUUUAAACCUUGUCGGACAGAUUCGGUGAGGCAGCGUGAAAGUUUUAAAGACAAAACUUUUUUUUUGUGACUCUUUGCAGGUUUCUGGAGAACCACUUGAAUGGUUGCAUCGACGCCAGUCAUUGAAACUGGUUUCGGUGGAAGAAUCUGAAGUAUCUGAAAUAACAGAAUCUGAAGAGUUUUGUCUUGAUAGAUUUCUUGGCAACUCCAAGAUUGACCGUCAAAGGCCAAAACUUUGAGCUGUAUCAUGUGUGUGUCAAAGUUGGCACCUGGUGCUCGGAUCAAGCCAAGAAUUUCUUUGUAAUCACAACCAAAUUUUGUGAAAACGCUUAUUUACGAUGUUCAACUCCAAUCCCGACAGUUACAAGUGAAUGUGUAGCUGAGUUCUUUCUUGGUUUUCGCCUGCACAGUCUUCCUUGGGAUCUUGUCAUAGUGGAUUGAAUGAUGGCUUAAAAGGAUACAACGCACCACCCCUUUGGCCAAAAGCCGUUCGCCAGAUAUCAGUCACCUCAUUGUAAAUGCCACCCGAACGCCCUUCAAAGUGACGUAUCAACAAGGUGAUCUCCGUCUCACCUCCCGCCACUACCAAACUCCACUCAUGCAUAUUGCUUGCUAGCAGCCCAACAUUUCUCAGAUUUGCCGGCAGAAUCUCUCUAGGCAUUGUUGCCAAGGGUCG
rnacentral:lncRNA from 1 species